GACGAACGCUGGCGGCGUGCCUAACACAUGCAAGUGGAGCGACGAACCAGGCUUCGGCCUGGGGCAAAGCCGCGAACGGGUGAGUAACACGUGGGUAACCUGCCCUGAUGAUUGGGACAACCCGAGGAAACUCGGGCUAAUACCAAAUGUGCCCUUCGGCCACAAGGCCGCUGGGGAAAGAAGCUUCGGCCUCCGCAUCUGGAUGGGCCCGCGGCCCAUUAGCUUGUUGGUGAGGUAACGGCUCACCAAGGCGACGAUGGGUAGCUGGUCUGAGAGACGAUCAGCCACACUGGGACUGAGACACGGCCCAGACUCCUACGGGAGGCAGCAGUGGGGAAUCUUGCGCAAUGCGCGAAAGCGUGACGCAGCAACGCCGCGUGGGGGAAGACGG
rnacentral:rRNA from 1 species